UCAGGAUAGUCAAACAGGGUAGACGGGGCAUCUCCAGAAGAAGACUGAGGGGCUUUACCUCAGUGGGAAACAGAGGAAACACUACCUCUACCAUUAGACAGACGGCAACAAAAGGACACAUCGGAUUCAGAGAAAAAUGGUUGAGGACAAAGCGGCCUUGACAGCUGCCAUUGUUCAACUUCACCAACAGCAAGGCAGAGUUUAGGCUCCCCACAGUGGACGAGCUGAUCAACACUGACAGCUUUGUGUGGCCAUGGGAGAGACUUGGCACCAGUAAGAAACAGGACUGCAGAAGGUAUCUAUUGGGAUUGAAUGUUUACCUUCAGCGUAGGCUGCAAUCAUUGCUGCCGUUCUGUUAUAUACCUCUGUGAGUUUACAUCACACAGGCAACAGCCAUCUUGUCAUCAAAAAAGGCAAUCUUGGACAGACUGAUGUUGGUGAACAGACUACAGGAGGAAGAGUGGAUCCUGGUGAAGGAGAUGAAGAGGCACUGGGGGGAGCCUACAAAGAGCAUCGGGAACACAGAAGGCAAUUCAGUGGAGUUGUCAGAGGGAGAAAGGAAUGGCCUUCUCUGCCACCUGAAGAGAAGAUUGAGUGAACUGACACAAGACCAAGUCAACACCAGGAACACCUACCACAAGCUGAUUCUGGGAGGAGGGGAUAUUUUUUUAUGA
rnacentral:lncRNA from 13 species